CCUACGGGGGGCAGCAGUGGGGAAUAUUGGGCAAUGGGCGCAAGCCUGACCCAGCAACGCCGCGUGAAGGAAGAAGGCUUUCGGGUUGUAAACUUCUUUUAAGAGGGAAGAGCAGAAGACGGUACCUCUUGAAUAAGCCACGGCUAACUACGUGCCAGCAGCCGCGGUAAUACGUAGGUGGCAAGCGUUGUCCGGAUUUACUGGGUGUAAGGGGCGUGCAGCCGGGAAGACAGGUCAGAUGUGAAGGCCCGCGGCUCAACCGCGGAACUGCCUGUGAAACUGUUUUUCUUGAGUACCGGAGAGGUCAUCGGAAUGCGUGGUGUAGCGGUGAAAUGCGUAGAUAUAAGGAAGAACACCGGUGGCGAAGGCGGAUGACUGGACGGCAACUGACGGUGAGGCGCGAAAGCGUGGGGAGCAAACAGGAUUAGAUACCCGUGUAGUC
rnacentral:rRNA from 1 species